rnacentral:rRNA from 1 species
GUCCACGCCGUAAACGAUGAUGACUAGCUGUCGGGGCGCUUAGCGUUCCGGUGGCGCAGCUAACGCGUUAAGUCAUCCGCCUGGGGAGUACGGCCGCAAGGUUAAAACUCAAAGAAAUUGACGGGGGCCUGCACAAGCGGUGGAGCAUGUGGUUUAAUUCGAAGCAACGCGCAGAACCUUACCAGCGUUUGACAUGCCAGGACGGUUUCCAGAGAUGGAUCCUCCCUUACGGGACCUGGACACAGGUGCUGCAUGGCUGUCGU